rnacentral:rRNA from 1 species
GGAAUUGACGGGGCCCGCACAAGCGGAGGAACAUGUGGUUUAAUUCGAUGAUACGCGAGGAACCUUACCUGGGCUUAAAUGUAGAGUGCAUUUCUAGAGAUAGGAAUUCCCUUCGGGGCUUUCUACAAGGUGCUGCAUGGUUGUCGUCAGCUCGUGCCGUGGGGUGUCGGGUUAAGUCCCAUAACGAGCGCAACCCUUAUCGUUAGUUGCCAUCUGGUAAAGCAGGGGACUCUAGCGAAACUGCCACCGUAAGGUGAGAGGAAGUGGGGAUGACGUCAAAUCAGCACGGCCCUUAUGUCCAGGGCUACACACGUGUUACAAUGGUCGGUACAGAGGGCAGCUACCUGGUGACAGGAUGCUAAUCUCGAAAACCGGCCUCAGUUCGGAUCGAAGUCUGCAACUCGACUUCGUGAAGCUGGAUUCGCUAGUAAUCGCGCAUCAGCCAUGGCGCGGUCGAAUACGUUCCCGGGCCUU